UAUAAAACAGGUCCGGGGGACAUUUUCUGCAGACUACACGCAUGGCAGCGUGGCUUUACUAUGGCUCAUGCUCCACCACGUUAUGUUAAACUUAACUUUAAUAUUGUCUUGCUUUGUUUUUUUUUUUUUUUCCUCCGACUAUUAAUAUUGUUAUACUUUAGCCUAAACUGCUUCGAGGCGCGUGGCGUUUUUAAUGUUUAGAGAACAGUGCGUGUCUGAUCCAUGUGACCAGGCCGCAGCUCGAGGGUAAUGUAAACCUACGGCUUUAUUAAGUAUUAUAAUUGGGAUAUUGGCUUCAUAGUGACGAAAGAGGUUCAGUUUCAUUUUUCGUUAUCUGUAAUAGUAUUUUUUUUAUUUAUUUUUUUGAUCACGCGGAUUAAGAAUAACGUGGCCAGUUGCGGAUCCAUGUGCACAGCAUGCGUUUUGCAGCAGAAAUUAUUUAUUGUUUUAUUCAGUGCUUGAGUUAUUAAGAAUGAAUUGGUUGUAGAUGAGCUAAUCUGGAUUAACUAACUUUUGUCUGUUUUAUUCCUUCCUUUUAUGAUUUACCAAUACGUCUUCUAUGGAGAGGUGGAUCUUGCUCUGCACUUUCAGAACUACACCAUGAAGACAACCUCAUUGUGUGAGAAUUCCUCAUUUCACAGCACUGGAUCGGACUAUGAUGCCCCAGAGAUGAACAGGUGCUUUUGUAUAUCAAGUGAUAACCUGAAUUAUUGAUAAUAAAUGUUUCAUUACCU
rnacentral:lncRNA from 1 species